rnacentral:rRNA from 1 species
CAAUAGCGUAUAUUAAAGUUGUUGCGGUUAAAAAGCUCGUAGUUGGAUUUCUGCUGAGAACGACCGGUCCGCCCUUUGGGUGUGUAUCUGGCUCUUUCUUGGCAUCUUCUUGGUGAACGUUGCUGCACUUGACUGUGUGGAGCGCUACCCAGGACUUUUACUUUGAGGAAAUUAGAGUGUUUCAAGCAGGCAUACGCCUUGAAUACAUUAGCAUGGAAUAAUAAGAUAGGACCUCGGUUCUAUUUUGUUGGUUGAGCCUAAAGUAAUGAUUAAUAGGGAUAGUUGGGGGCACCUGUAUUGCGUUGUCAGAGGUGAAAUUCUUGGAUUUACGCAAGACAAACAGCUGCGAAAGCGUCUGCCAAGGAUGUUUUCAUUAA